UACAGAGGUCCCAAGCGUUGUUCGGAUUCACUGGGCGUAAAGGGUGCGUAGGUGGUAGGGUAAGUCGGAUGUGAAAUCUCCGAGCUCAACUCGGAAAUGGCAUUGGAAACUACCUUGCUCGAGGGUUGGAGGGGGGACUGGAAUGCUUGGUGUAGCAGUGAAAUGCGUAGAUAUCAAGUGGAACACCAGUGGCGAAGGCGAGUCCCUGGACAACUCCUGACACUGAGGCACGAAAGCUAGGGGAGCAAACAGG
rnacentral:rRNA from 1 species